rnacentral:rRNA from 1 species
GACGAACGCUGGCGGCGUGCUUAACACAUGCAAGUCGAACGGAAAGGCCCUGCUUUUGUGGGGUGCUCGAGUGGCGAACGGGUGAGUAACACGUGAGUAACCUGCCCUUGACUUUGGGAUAACUUCAGGAAACUGGGGCUAAUACCGGAUAGGAGCUCCUGCUGCAUGGUGGGGGUUGGAAAGUUUCGGCGGUUGGGGAUGGACUCGCGGCUUAUCAGCUUGUUGGUGGGGUAGUGGCUUACCAAGGCUUUGACGGGUAGCCGGCCUGAGAGGGUGACCGGCCACAUUGGGACUGAGAUACGGCCCAGACUCCUACUGGAGGCAGCAGUGGGGAAUAUUGCACAAUGGGCGGAAGCCUUAUGCAGCAACGCCGCGUGCGGGAUGACGGCCUUCGGGUUGUAAACCGCUUUCGCCUGUGACGAAGCGUGAGUGACGGUAAUGGGUAAAGAAGCACCGGCUAACUACGUG